rnacentral:rRNA from 1 species
GGAUCACGUGGCUUAAUUCGACGAUAAGCGAGGAACCUUACCAAGGCUUGACAGACUAGUGAAAGUCUGAUGAAAAUCAGACCCACCUACAAGGACACUAGUCCAGGUGCUGCAUGGUUGUCGUCAGCAGGUGGCUUGAGCUGCUCCCUUAAAUGGGCAAACCUGCGCAACCCCUAUCCUAUGUUUAAUCUGUCAUAGGAAACUGCCCGAGACAAUCGGGAGGAAGGCGGGGAUGACGCCAAAUCAGCAUGGCCCUUUGAUGCCUUGGGCUGCACACGUGAUACAAUGGUCGAUACAAUGGGUUGCUAAGCCGAUAAGGCGGAGCUAAUCCCUUAAAGUCGGCCUUAGUUCGGAUUGAGGUCUGAAACCCGACCUCAUGAAGCUGGAAUCGCUAGUAACUGCCAAUCAGCCAUGUGGCGGUGAAUGUGUUCCUGGGUCUUGUACUCACCGCCCGUCAUGUCAGAAAAGCUAGCAAUACCCGAAGUCCCACUUUGCGUGGGCCGAAGGUAGGGUUAGUGAUUAGGACUAAGUCGUAACAAGGUAACCAAGGGCGAA